rnacentral:rRNA from 1 species
AGUGAACGCUGGCGGUAGGCCUAACACAUGCAAGUCGAACGGCAGCACAGUAAGAGCUUGCUCUUACGGGUGGCGAGUGGCGGACGGGUGAGGAAUACAUCGGAAUCUACUUUUUCGUGGGGGAUAACGUAGGGAAACCUACGCUAAUACCGCAUACGACCUACGGGUGAAAGCAGGGGAUCUUCGGACCUUGCGCGAUUGAAUGAGCCGAUGUCGGAUUAGCUAGUUGGCGGGGUAAAGGCCCACCAAGGCGACGAUCCGUAGCUGGACUGAGAGGAUGAUCAGCGACACUGGAACUGAGACACGGUCCAGACUCCUACGGGAGGGAGCAGUGGGGAAUAUUAGACAGUGGGCGCGAGCCUGAUCCAGCCAUACCGCGUGGGUGAAGAAGGCCUUCGGGUUGGAAAGCCCUUUUGUUGGGAAAGAAAAGCAGCAGGUUAAUACCCCGCUGUUCUGACGGUACCCAAAGAAUAAGCACCGGCUAACUUCGUG